CUGAUAAUGUGACCCUUCCUCCCCAGGAUCUUGGGUCCAUCCAGUUGGUGGACAGCAGUUCCCCCAGCUGCAGCCCUGUGACCAGCCUGUCCAGCUUUGUCAUGUACCAGUUUCCAGUAAGUGCCUGUGGCAGCACAGUUCAGAUGGCUGGUGGCAACGUGACUUGCCAGAACACCAUGUCUGCUGCCAUCACUGUGAGGAGUGGUCCAGAGGGCUCCAUCACCAGGGACAGUGUCUACAAGUUAUUCUUCCAGUGCACCUACUCGGGAAGCCAGGAUGUGCAAGUGGAGGCUGAGGUGUAUCCUGUGACGCCA